rnacentral:rRNA from 1 species
UAAGCGACUCUCGGCAACGGAUAUCUCGGCUCUCGCAUCGAUGAAGAACGUAGCGAAAUGCGAUACUUGGUGUGAAUUGCAGAAUCCCGCGAACCAUCGAGUCUUUGAACGCAAGUUGCGCCUGAAGCCAUUAGGUUGAGGGCACGUCUGCCUGGGCGUCUCAC